rnacentral:rRNA from 1 species
CCCGCUGAACUUAAGCAUAUCAAUAAGCGGAGGAAAAGAAACUAACAAGGAUUCCCCUAGUAACGGCGAGUGAAGCGGGAAGAGCUCAAAUUUAAAAUCUGGUUUGCUGGCAUCUCCGAGUUGUAGUCUGAAGAAACGUUUUCCAUGAAAGCUGAGGCACAAGUCCUUUGGAACAGGGCAUCAUAGAGGGUGAGAAUCCCGUCCAUGGCUUCAAGUCUUUUAUUUUGUGAUACGUUUUCUAAGAGUCAGGUUGUUUGGGAAUGCAGCCUAAAAUGGGUGGUAAAUUUCAUCUAAAGCUAAAUAUUGUUGAGAGACCGAUAGCGAACAAGUACCGUGAGGGAAAGAUGAAAAGAACUUUGAAUAAGAGAGUUAAAAAGUACGUGAAAUUGUUGAAAGGGAACCGUUUGAAGCCAGUCUUGCUUACUUGUGAUCAGUCUUAGCUUCGGCUUGGAUGCACUCUCAGGUUAUGCAGGUCAACGUCAGUUUGAGAGGUGGGAAAAAAGCUUGAGGAAUGUGGCCUUCGGGUGUUAUAGCCUCUUGCUAAAUACCAUCUUAUGGACUGAGGCUCGCAGCAAAAAUGUGGGCAGGUUUGCGCUUGAGGUGAUCCAUUAUCAAGACAGCUUGCUGACUUGGUUUUGGCUAGCUUCACUGUGAGCUUCGCUUCUAAUUCGCUUAGGUCGUUGACAUAAUGGCUUUAAAUGACCCGUCUUGAAACACGG